UACGUAGGGGGCGAGCGUUGUCCGGAUUUAUUGGGCGUAAAGAGCGUGUAGGCGGCCAGGUAGGUCUGCUGUGAAAACUCGAGGCUCAACCUCGAGACGUCGGCGGAAACCAUCUGGCUAGAGUCCGGAAGAGGAGAGUGGAAUUCCUGGUGUAGCGGUGGAAUGCGUAGAGAUCGGGAAGAACAUCAGUGGCGAAGGCGGUCUGCUGGGCCGUUGCUGACGCUGAGGCGCGACAGCGUGGGGAGCAAACAGG
rnacentral:rRNA from 1 species